rnacentral:rRNA from 1 species
UACAGAGGUCUCAAGCGUUGUUCGGAUUCAUUGGGCGUAAAGGGUGCGUAGGUGGCGCGGUAAGUCGGGUGUGAAAUCUCGGGGCUUAACUCCGAAACUGCAUUCGAUACUGCCGUGCUUGAGGACUGGAGAGGAGACUGGAAUUUACGGUGUAGCGGUGAAAUGCGCAGAUAUCAGGAGGAACACCGGUGGCGAAGGCGGGUCUCUGGGCCGAUACUGACGCUGAGGAGCGAAAGCGUGGGGAGCGAACAGG